ACACCGGCGGCCCGAGUGGUGGUCGUGAUUAUUGGGUCUAAAGGGUCCGUAGCCGGUUUGGUCAGUCCUCCGGGAAAUCUGAUAGCUCGACUAUUAGGCUUUCGGGGGAUACUGCCAGACUUGGAACCGGGAGAGGUAAGAGGUACUACAGGGGUAGGAGUGAAAUCUUGUAAUCCCUGUGGGACCACCUGUGGCGAAGGCGUCUUACCAGAACGGGUUCGACGGUGAGGGACGAAAGCUGGGGGCACGAACCGGAUUAGAUACCCGGGUAGUCCCAGCCGUAAACGAUGCUCGCUAGGUGUCAGGCAUGGCGCGACCGUGUCUGGUGCCGCAGGGAAGCCGUGAAGCGAGCCACCUGGGAAGUACGGCCGCAAGGCUGAAACUUAAAGGAAUUGGCGGGG
rnacentral:rRNA from 1 species